UACGGAGGGGGCUAGCGUUGUUCGGAAUUACUGGGCGUAAAGCGCACGUAGGCGGCUUUGUAAGUUAGAGGUGAAAGCCCAGAGCUCAACUCUGGAACUGCCUUUAAGACUGCAUCGCUUGAAUCAUGGAGAGGUUAGUGGAAUUCCGAGUGUAGAGGUGAAAUUCGUAGAUAUUCGGAAGAACACCAGUGGCGAAGGCGACUAACUGGACAUGUAUUGACGCUGAGGUGCGAAAGCGUGGGGAGCAAACAGG
rnacentral:rRNA from 1 species